AGCUGCUCCUGGCCAGAGCUGUCUCUCUGCAGCGCUGCCCUUGCCACGAGCUGCCUCUGUGCCAAGAGCCGGCCCAGCUCAGCAGCACAGACACAGCACAAGGACUUCUCUUGUGGGUUGGGUGCUAAAUCCCUGAACAUCAGUCCCUGAGAGGGAGCUGAAAAAACCUCUCAAGAGCUGAAAGUCACAAUCCAACUCCAAAGUUUCUUCAAGUUUUAAUAGGUCCCACUGAGGGACACAACUGAGAAAGUGUCCCCAGGUUCCAGUUAGAGCAGAACACCGGAGGCACUGAUGACAGGAUCCACCAUCUCUGAAACUGCCCUUCAAUCCCGCCCAGGGCUCUCAUCUGCUGUCCUCAGUCUCCACCCCACUGAGCACAGAGCUCCUUUGUCCCGAUGCAGAGCGAGUCAGCAGAGGCCAAGGCAAGCCAGACCUGUCUGUCCUUGCAACCCUUGGAUAUGUGGGGAGUUUUGGAGGUGGAAUUCCAUUGCAGCCAUGGGUUCCUGGACCAGAAGGACAGUUCUUCUCCACAGGAAGGAAAGGGCAGUGCCCCAGCAUUUCAAAGGCUGAUUAAAAGCAGUCCCAAGGAGGCCAAGGCCAGCCAGACCUGUUUGUCUUGGCAGCUUUUGUCUGGGAGCAAUCCUUGGAUAGAGGGAAUUUGGGAAGCCUAACCCCACUUUUGUCCAUGGGCACAUGGACAAGAAGGACAGUUCUCUUCCAUAGGAAGGAAAGUACAGAGCCCCAGUGUUUCACAGGCAGAUGAGAGCUGGCCCUCAGGAAGCCAAAGGAACCUAGACAGUCCUGGCAGAUUUUGUCUGGGAGCUGUCCUUGGAUAUAGGGAGUUUUGGAGGCAGAUUCCCAAUUGUGGCCAUAGACACCUGGACUUCAAAGAUGCUUUUUACAAUGGAAAGAAAAGCACAUCCCUCCAGUGUUUUGAAGGCAGGUAAGAGGUGGCCCCCAAGAUGCCAAGGCCAUCCAGAGCUGUCUUUGCUGGCAGGUUUCCAAUGGGAACAAUCUUUGGAUAUAAUCAGAUAUAGAGGUAGAUUCCCAAUUUCCGCCAUGAACCCCUGGAGGAGAGGGAGAGUUCUUUCCCACUGGAAGGAAAGCACAGAACUCCGGAGUUUUAGGGGCAGAUGAGAAGCAACCCUCAACAUGCCAUCUCAGCUGGACCAGUCAGGCCCAGCCAACCAGACCUGUUCCAUGUUCUUGGAUCCUUGGGGCCCUGCAACAUCACAAUUGCCCUUUGGUUCCACGAGUCCCCAUAGUAUCACAAGAGAUCUUUGUUUCCAUGAGGCCCAGUGAUAUCACAAUGGUCUCCUUGGCUCUGCAGUGCCACAAUGGCCCCUUGCUUCCAUGAGGCCUUGCAGUGUCAAAAUGGUUUUCCUUGGUUCCAUGGGACUGUGCAGAGUGCCACAAUGGUCCCUUGGUUCUGUUGGGCUCCCCAGGAUCACAAUGGCCCCUUGGUUCCACAAGGCCUGGCUGUGGCACACUGGCCCCUUGCUUCCAUGGGGACCCAUAGUGUCACAAUGGCCCCUUGGUGCCAUGGGGACCUAGAAUGCCAGAAUGGUCUCAUUGCUUCCAGGAGGCCCUGCAGUGUCACAGAGAGCUCCUUGGUUCCAUAAAGCCCUGCAAACCCCUUGAUUCAACACGGCCUCAAAGUGUCAGAAUGGUCUCCAGGAUUCUAGGAGUUCCUGCAGUGUCACAAGGGCACCUUGCUUCCAUGAGGCCCUGAAAUAUGGAAUGGCCCCUUGAUUCCAUUGGGCUCCUCACUGUUACAUGAGUUUUUAGUUACAUGGAGGCCUGUAGUGUCACAAUGGCCCUUGGUUCCAAAGGGUCCCAAACUGUUGUAAUAUUCUCCAUGAGGUUCCGUGAGGUCUCACAAUGUCACAAUGGACUUUUGGUUCCAUGAGCUUUCAUAAUGCUCAACAGCAGUCUCCUUGGUUCUGCAGUUUUAUAACUGACCCGUGGUUCCAUGAGGUGCCUCGCCUCCCACAGCUUCUCAGGGACCCUUUUCCCCAUCAAGAUUCUUUCAGUCAUCUUCUGAGAGGUCCAGCUUGUUCUGGUGAUUUCCAUGAACUGAUUGUACUUGUGAUUUAUAGCAAUGUAUGAGAUGUAGAAGCAUCUGAGCUGAACACAGAAAGAAACAAACUCCCUGUCAGCCCAUUUUCAUCUUCCAGAUCACUUUCAAGAUGUCCAUGGGGAUGUUGGAAUGAUUAUCACACGGCUCUCCAUUUCUGGCUGCAGGCUCUGGAGAUUCUUUUUGUGCAUUCAGUCAAGCUUGCAUUCCCUAACAAUUCCUGGUAGCCCGUCAUGUUUUCUUAAGGUAGAACAGUAACAAUGAAAACAUUACCAAUGACACAACUGCCCAGCCCACAAGGGAAAGAAAGAAGAAGUUGUUAAGUUUUUAAAUAUUUGUCUUGCUUUGCUGCAAGAGUUGUGCUGCACGCACGGCGGGGAAAGCCAAGAGAAGCUGCAGUUGGUGGCGCAUCUUGUGACAGAAGCUGCUCCUCGUUCUCCAGGAAAAGGUUCUUGGAAAGAGCAAACAGGACUGUGGAGAAGAUUCUGGGAAAAGUGAAACAGCUUUUAAGAAUUGAAAUAAGAAUGGAAAGAAACAAUCCAAGAUGUUUUAUUUAUUUUUAUGCUCCCCUUUUCCAUCUUGCACUACUUCUCCUUCCCAUUAAUUCCAAAUGGAUCUUACUUCUAAGAUCCAUGACUUGGCAAGUUUUAGACACUCUAAAAUACCAUGAUCUACACACUGUUUUCCUUCCCCUGUAUUUUUUAGAAAGCAAUGCUGGAGAGGUAAGUGCAGUGCUUGGGUCAGGUACAAAUUCUGCAUUCAGGGAAUGUGCUCUGGUAGUGUUUGACCCUCAGCAGGGACAAUACACAGCAGCGACCGAGGGGAUUCCUGUGCCCCUGUGCAGGAGUACAGACUCUGAGUCUUGG